GCCCUACGGGGUGCAGCAGGCGCGAAAACUUUACAAUGCUGGCAACAGCGAUAAGGGAACCUCGAGUGCCAGGUUACAAAUCUGGCUGUCGAGAUGCCUAAAAAGCAUUUCAUAGCAAGGGCCGGGCAAGACCGGUGCCAGCCGCCGCGGUAACACCGGCGGCUCGAGUGGUAACCGUUAUUAUUGGGUCUAAAGGGUCUGUAGCCGGCCGGAUAAGUCUCUUGAGAAAUCUGGCAGCUUAACUGUCAGGCUUUCAGGAGAUACUGUCUGGCUCGAGGCCGGGAGAGGUGAGAGGUACUUCAGGGGUAGGGGUGAAAUCUUGUAAUCCUUGAAGGACCACCAGUGGCGAAGGCGUCUCACCAGAACGGACCUGACGGCAAGGGACGAAAGCUAGGGGCACGAACCGGAUUAGAUACCCGGGUAGUCCUAGCCGUAAACGAUACUCGCUAGGUGUCGGCCACGGUGCGACCGUUGUCGGUGCCGUAGGGAAGCCGUGAAGCGAGC
rnacentral:rRNA from 1 species